rnacentral:rRNA from 1 species
AAUAGAUACCCAGGUAGUCCACGCCGUAAACGAUGAGUGCUAAGUGUUAGAGGGUUUCCGCCCUUUAGUGCUGCAGCUAACGCAUUAAGCACUCCGCCUGGGGAGUACGGCCGCAAGGCUGAAACUCAAAGGAAUUGACGGGGGCCCGCACAAGCGGUGGAGCAUGUGGUUUAAUUCGAAGCAACGCGAAGAACCUUACCAGGUCUUGACAUCCUCUGCCAACCCUAGAGAUAGGGCGUUCCCCCUUCGGGGGACAGAGUGACAGGUGGUGCAUGGUUGUCGUCAGCUCGUGUCGUGAGAUGUUGGGUUAAGUCCCGCAACGAGCGCAACCCUUGAUCUUAGUUGCCAGCAUUCAGUUGGGCACUCUAAGGUGACUGCCGGUGACAAACCGGAGGAAGGUGGGGAUGACGUCAAAUCAUCAUGCCCCUUAUGACCUGGGCUACACACGUGCUACAAUGGAUGGUACAAAGAGCUGCGAACCCGCGAGGGUAAGCCAAUCUCAUAAAGCCAUUCUCAGUUCGGAUUGUAGG